rnacentral:tRNA from 1 species
GCCUUCGUGGUGUAACGGUAGCACACUCGACUCGUAUUUGAGAGGUUCAGGUUCGAGUCCCGCCGAGGCCA